GUCGAGAAUAAUUCACAAUGGACGAAAGUCUGAUGGUGCAACGCCGCGUGGAGGAUGACGGUCUUCGGAUUGUAAACUCCUGUCAUCCGGGAGUAAGACCUGGCUGUGAAUAGCAGACAGGGUUGAUAGUACCGGAAGAGGAAGGGACGGCUAACUUCGUGCCAGCAGCCGCGGUAAUACGAAGGUCCCGAGCGUUGUUCGGAAUCACUGGGCGUAAAGGGAGCGUAGGCGGCGUGGUAAGUCAGAUGUGAAAUCCCGGGGCUCAACCCCGGAACUGCAUCCGAUACUGCCGUGCUAGAGGAUUGGAGAGGUAGCUGGAAUUCUUGGUGUAGCAGUGAAAUGCGUGGAGAUCAAGAGGAACACUCGUGGCGAAAGUGAGCUACUGGACAAUAUCUGACGCUGAGGCUCGAAGGCCAGGGUAGCGAAAGGGAUUAGAAACCCGGGUAGUCC
rnacentral:rRNA from 1 species